UUCAGAUUUUGGUGAUCCAAUUGGAAAAUGUGAAAAAUUGUGGAAACGUUGAAAGAGUAUGUAUGUUACAAGUGGGUAGAAGUCCUACUUCUGUAUAUAAAAAUGAUUUGAAACCCUGUGCAUUCUUGUGCAUUAUAUGAGCAUGACAUGAAACAUGCAUUUUCACUGCGCACACGCAUUCACUAGGCUUAGUAGCUCUAGCUUUCCUUUCUAUUUUUUUCAGGUGAGAGUAGGAAGUUGAAGGAGUAGAGGCUACAGACUCUAGUUGUCCUUUUUAUUUUGCACAUAUCACUGUAUAUAUUUUUUUUGUAAUACCCUGAAUAUGUACAUCAGGUAUAGUAAAUAUGACAUGGUUUAUGUUUUGGUUUUGCCUUAAUGUGCUCAGUUGUACACAGUAAUAUAUGUUGAAUAUGAUGAAAAUUUGAGAAA